CCUGUUAUCAUUCAAGCUUCCAAAAGUUGGAAAAUCCAGCAAAAUUCAAGGACAAUCUUUAGCUUUUGCACAUAAACUAUCAACAUUUACAAACUAAUUGUCCUACCAUUCUUCAAAAUAGAUAAAAAUCAGCAGAGCAAAACUAGAAAGGAAAGUUCUUUUAGCCGGAUAAUACCUGAAUGGUGAGCUCCAGGCGCAGGAUAGCCUGCAGGAGGAUAACCUCCAGGUGCGGGAGGAUAACCACCUUGUGCGGGAGGGUAUGCACCAGGAGGGUAUCCAGCAGGCGGAUAGCCACCAGCUGGAGGAUACCCUUGUGGUGGGUAACCUUGUGGCGGGUAACCACCUUGACCGGGUGGGUAAUGAUGUCCUCCUCCAGGGAAAUGAAAUCCUUUGUCUUG
rnacentral:lncRNA from 1 species